rnacentral:rRNA from 1 species
CUUACCAUGCAAGUCGAACGGUGAAAGAGAGCUUGCUCUCUGGAUCAGUGGCGAACGGGUGAGUAACACGUGAGCAAUCUGCCCCUGACUCUGGGAUAAGCGUUGGAAACGACGUCUAAUACCGGAUACGAGCUGCGAAGGCAUCUUCAGCAGCUGGAAAGAACUUCGGUCAGGGAUGAGCUCGCGGCCUAUCAGCUAGUUGGUGAGGUAAUGGCUCACCAAGGCGUCGACGGGUAGCCGGCCUGAGAGGGUGACCGGCCACACUGGGACUGAGACACGGCCCAGACUCCUACGGGAGGCAGCAGUGGGGAAUAUUGCACAAUGGGCGAAAGCCUGAUGCAGCAACGCCGCGUGAGGGACGACGGCCUUCGGGUUGUAAACCUCUUUUAGCAGGGAAGAAGCGAAAGUGACGGUACCUGCAGAAAAAGCACCGGCUAACUACGUGCCAGCAGCCGCGGUAAUACGUAGGGUGCAAGCGUUAUCCGGAAUUAUUGGGCGUAAAGAGCUCGUAGGCGGUUUGUCGCGUCUGCUGUGAAAACCCGAGGCUCAACCUCGGGCCUGCAGUGGGUACGGGCAGACUAGAGUGCGGUAGGGGAGAUUGGAAUUCCUGGUGUAGCGGUGGAAUGCGCAGAUAUCAGGAGGAACACCGAUGGCGAAGGCAGAUCUCUGGGCCGUAACUGACGCUGAGGAGCGAAAGGGUGGGGAGCAAACAGGCUUAGAUACCCUGGUAGUCCACCCCGUAAACGUUGGGAACUAGUUGUGGGGUCCAUUCCACGGAUUCCGUGACGCAGCUAACGCAUUAAGUUCCC